GCCACAUUGCUGAGAACAAUUAAGUGCUGUGAAAAAAGAAAUUAAGAUUAAAAAAAGAACAAAACUAGCCCAGGGAACCAAUGACAUUUUUUCAGUGUCAGAUUACAGAUGUGAGUUCUAGGCAUUCCAAUACUAUUCAUAAAAAUAUUUUUUAAUUUCCUAAAGCACUAAAUGUGCCAACACUCCAAAAUACAUAAGCAAAAGAAGAAUAUAACAUUCAGUUAAUUAUUUGAGGGCUACACACACAUACACAUAUAUACCCACAUGGAGCUAGAUUACAUAUACAUACAUAACAUACAUAUAUAUAUAUGUAUAUGCAUACAUAUAUAAGAUGUACAGAGCUCAAUCGCAUUUAUUGAGAUAAAGGAAUGUCAGCAAUAUAUUUAACUUAAAAAUGAAAUUUCAAAAGUUUUAGUUUAAUUUAACCGAAUAGCAACCAAACAGAACAUUCUCCUCAUUCCUCAUUUUUCUUUAUUUUUUUUUUCUCCCCUCACUAGAUGGAAUUAUUUUAAAUAAUUUAAUCUUAUCGGAGAGAAAGUCCAAUAGUAAUUCUACCACAAGAAAAAGGGCAGAUUGAGAAAUCUGGUGUCUCUUUGGAUGAGCUAAGAAAAUUUUGCUCACUAUUUUAGACAAUUAAGACCAAAGAAUACCAGAAAGUGUUUCCAAAUUCAAAGAAAGACAGUUUGCUAUCAUAAAACAAAUGUUUUGGCUAGUGAUAUUCCAUUGAAGUUUAGGAAAACUAAUUCUCAAUGUACUUCUUAAAACAUUAUAACAUGGCAAUUGGCAAAAUGCCAACAUAUUUUCUGGGAGGUUGAGGGGAGAAAAAUGUAAUAUUUCAACCCAUAUAUGGGGCUGUAACUAAUCCACAAUAACAUUUGUGGUUACAAAGCUUUGAAAUAGUUGCAUCUGAACCAAAAUAUCCUUUCUCUGUUAGAAAGACAAAAUGUCUUAAUGCAGAUGAAGUAAUAUGAAUACAAGGAUAAAACUACUGCCCCUCAACACAGUUACAUUUCUUUAAGCUAAAUAGGAUUUCUAUUCUCUGAUCUUCUGACUCUUCCAAAUUGUUCUCUUUUCAUGGCAUCACUUUCUCCCACCUUUGGGUUACAGUGACUCACUGAAC
rnacentral:lncRNA from 1 species